CGGACUCAGUAGUCUGUGGGAAGAGUUCUGGCUUCCGUAAUGACUGGUCACCUCUCCCUCCCUGGGACCUGGCAGCAGAAGGAGGUGAGGCGAUUCGGUUCAGGGGGGUUCAGCAGCUUUUGCCCAGAGCCUGGGUUCAAACGCAGACAGUGUAACUCCAGAGCCCUCAGUCUUUACUGCUGCCUUUAGCCCACUGAGGAUGGACGAGUGGAGGAUCGCCUGGACGCACUUCUUGCAGCGGACGUCGUUCUUGCUGGGUUACUAGACCAGGUUUCUCUCCCACCCAGCCCGGUUUGGACCCACCGCGGAAGCUGCAGAAAUCGAUGUGCCGAAGCUGCCCUCUGGUGGCAUAAACGAGUACAGCAGUGUCUGUGCCCUCUGGCGCCCCCAGGUGGAAGCUGGGGUGUUGCAGAGAAGAGACCAAGCCGCAGCCCACAGCGGGGGCAGCCUCAGCCCGCGGCACCUGGAGACCCCCUGCUCUGGCCACUGCCUGGUGCCCCCCGAGGUGCCAGCUGAGGCUGCCCCCGAAGAAUGCCAGCUGCCGGAGUCCGCCGCCUCCCACUCCCUCCACCAGCCUCGCACACACUCCAAUCCCGGUCCAGUCGGCUGCUUCCAUUCCCUGAAGAAGAGGCCCUAAAGUUAAAACAGCUGUUAAUUUAUAAA